AACGAACGCUGGCGGCAGGCUUAACACAUGCAAGUCGAACGCCUGUAGCAAUACAGGAGUGGCAGACGGGUGAGUAACACGUGGGAACGUGCCCAAAGGUACGGAACAACUCCGGGAAACUGGAGCUAAUACCGUAUGUGCCCGAAAGGGGAAAGAUUUAUCGCCUUUGGAUCGGCCCGCGUCUGAUUAGCUAGUUGGUGGGGUAAUGGCCUACCAAGGCGACGAUCAGUAGCUGGUCUGAGAGGAUGGCCCACCACACUGGGACUGAGACACGGCCCAGACUCCUACGGGAGGCAGCAGUGGGGAAUAUUGGACAAUGGGCGCAAGCCUGAUCCAGCCAUGCCGCGUGAGUGAUGAAGGCCUUAGGGUUGUAAAGCUCUUUCGCCAGGGACGAUAAUGACGGUACCUGGAUAAGAAGCCCCGGCUAACUUCGUGCCAGCAGCCGCCGUAA
rnacentral:rRNA from 1 species